GACGGGCUGGGGGACCCAGCCGCCUGCCGGGCUCCCCCGGCCCCAAAAUGGUGGGAGCCGCUUCGCCCCGCCCCCGAGCGCGGUGUUUGUUUGUGUUCCGGGCAUGGCGGAGCCCGCGGCCGCUCGGGCCCGGCGGGGCGGGACGGGACAGGAGGCAGCGGGGACCCCCCGCACCACCCGGCCCACACCGGCCGAGGGGCCUGUGCGGGGCCCAGCCACCUUCCGAGGGGUCCCCUGGGCGGGUCCCCAGGCAGGGAAGGGGUGCCCUGUGCUGGUCCCUGACGUGACCCGAGGGGCACAGGGCUGUGAACCCCAGAGUAGAGCAAAAUCAGUAACAGGCACUUCGGUUUUGCGUUUCUAAAGGUUGUUUUAUGCGAUAAGCAGGUGCUCUAAUAAGCUAUAUAUUUAGCUGCUUUCUUUUUUUCCUUCAUAAACACAUAUUCAUAUUUGGAUAUAAGUAUAGGUAAGUACUGAUAAUGCAAACUUGAAGUUAAUGCCCCUGUAUUGGUAUGCCAGCACUGACCCACACAGAGGGGAAUAUACCAUGGUCCUACUGGUGUUCUUUGGUUCCUCAAAAUCUGUGCUUGGCCUUCAGAUUCACACCGUGGAAAAUACUUUAAAAUCCAGGUUUUAAAGUGAAGGUUUUUUUCCCAGUGAAGCAAGUGUGGUGCAGAUGAGAGCAGCUGCAAAGUCCAGCCUGCAAAGCAGUACAGCGUGGCUGCUGCUUAUCGCCAAGCUCUCUGCUGAUACAGCUUUGCACCAGAGCUCCCGUUCUGGGCCAGACUAUCUCCAGACCUGUUGUUCACAGUGACGUGUUUGGCUCCACAACCUUUGCUGGUGGACCUCAGUCUGGGAUCAGACAUUUUGCUGAUUAUCUUUGUGCGUUCGUUCUUGGAGAUUUCAUUUUAUUACUGUUUAGGUUGGUUUGUUUUGCUGCUUAUCAAUGGGUAAGUUAAACAAGCCUGGUGUAAAGCCUGUGAUUGCUGCCAUUUAUGGUGUUCUAACACGGUUUCAGACUUUUCAAGGAAACUGAAACUAAAAAUGGGGCAGGACUGUGAGAGUUGCUCAAGAUAGAGAGGCUUUGCAAUGGUGCACUGUAAAUAAUGACUGCUGUACAUGGCUUGCUCAUUUGGGUGUUUAUCCUAUGAGUCUGUUGCCUUGGUUUAGCAGAAUUAGGCAAGCAAUUGUUGGAGGAGAUCCAGUGAGCCACUGCCUCACCCAGUCAUGGUUUCAAGGUUAAGGCAAUGUCAGAGCUGCCUGCUGUGAGAACCUGGUGAUGAAACUCAGCAUUGUCACUGGUGUUUUCAGUGGUGCAGUGGCACCAUUGGGAAUGAGGUUAUGGGCAACUAGGAAGACUUAUUUAUUCAGCUGGGAGCUCGUGUUUUGUUUUCUCUGUGAGGUUCAGGCCUGUCGUUGAUGUAGUUCAGUGAAAACCAGAGGUCACACUGUGCCUUGGUGUGAGGCUGUGAUCAGCUUGUGAUCCUCUACAGUGAGGAGGUCCUAUGGAAACCUGGGGUGCCUCCCUGGUGGCUUGCAUGCCAAAACAGCCUUUCUUUGGAAACCAGAGUGCAAACUGGUCUCAUUCUGAUAUGCAGUCUGGGCAUGGGUAGGAUUUCCCCUGCGUCUCAUGGUAUAGAUGUUACAUUUAUUUACCUUGAGGCAGAUGUCCAGAAGGAAUAGGUACUAAGCCCAGUUAAAACUUUCCCCUUAAGAGGUAGAGAAUGCUCCAAAUCUGGGCAUGUUUUGAAAAAUGCAGACUUGUCAAGUGCCAGAAGAGAUCUGCUUUUCAUGAUGAACUCACUGAGACCAAAGAGGAAGCAGAGGUUCAUGUUUGGCCUUGCAACAAGACAGAGUGCACCUGUGAGAGCUCUGAAGGGGGAAGAGCUACUGGCAGUCACACCUGGAUUCUUUGCAGCAGGGGUGGCUGAAGGUACUGCUUUUCCAGGCCAUUCACUCCUGUUAUGUCAGAGAGGUCAUUAAUGGCUUUGCACCACUGGCUCAAAAGUUGUACAAAGGCCCAGGAGAUGGAAAAUGGAGAAUUUUUGUGUUCACAAAUGUCUUUUAAUACCCUGUGUAUGCUGAGGUGUAACUGUGAAUCUGCUCCUUUUGCUACCACACUUUUUGCAGGCUGGGGACAAGGAAGCAGAGGGAUGGGUCCUCAGAGGCUGUGAUUAAUGACUGUGGUUUCUUUAGAUUUAUGGUAUGUUUUAACAGAACCAUAGGGCAGUUUAACUGAUUACUUCAGUUCUCUCUGGUUUUUACUUCCUCUGCUUAGUUUGGGGAACAAGUAAUAGUCAGAAUGGAUUUUCUAGAGCCUUAAAAGACUCCUAUAGAGGAAGAAAGAUUCAUGUAGUGGUUUAGAGCUACACGGUAUUUUGCAAAUACAAAAAUUUGUGUCAGACUAAUAACAAGACAGAACUGGCAAUGUAAGUCAAUGAAACUUUUUCUUACUUGUAGACAUUUAGUUGGCUGUAAUCUGUUGUCAGAAUGGAAAUGGGGAUGUUCUGAAGUUUGCCAGUGUACAGAUUUCAUGUUCUGGUACACCUCGAUACAACGUCGUACACGGGUCUGUCCUCACCAGCUUCUGGCAGCUAGCAUCUUCUGAGUGAAAUCUAUCUUUUAAAAAAUAAUAGACAUUCAAGAAAAGGAGUGUUAAACUAUGCAGACAAAAUUUAAGUUUUAUUUUACAGGCUUUUGGUAUGAGGGGAGGCAGGUGACAUAUUGAUGUAUUCUUAAGGCUCAUAUGAGGUAGCCAGAGAUGAUGAACUUUUUACUGGAAAAAAUCUGUUUUCUUUUGAGUUAAAAAUCUAAAAUCCACUGAGGACAUAAAAAGUCCUUUCUUGUUAAGAGUUCCUCUGCAAAAUUGAUGUCCUAAAUUGCCUAAUUUUUGGAUGAAAGACCCUUUGAUAACACCAUUUUACGUGAUCCAUGCUCAUGCUUUGUUGGAUGACAUUUUGGAUAUGUUUAAUAUGUCAUGCUUAACAAAAGUUUUUGAAAGACCUUUUCCUCAACAUGGAAAAGUUUUUUCACUUCCUUUUCUUACAUCAAGCUUAUUUUCCCAACACUUAUCAUCUCUCAUGUCUUAUCUUUCUUUUGGAUAAAAUUGUUUUCCCAAUUCCUACACAGAAGCCCAGUUGACUUCUGAGUGCAAUCUUUCCAUGCCAUGGUACCCAGAGGUUCAGAGAUAACUCUGUUUGCUCAGGUAAUGUUGGUGAACACAAUGCAAUUUUAAAACCUUUUUCUGGAAGGAAAAAAAACAGAAAAAAAAGACUUUGUAUACCUCUGGAGAAUGGAAGUAAAUUACAUUCUUCUAUUAUGUAUGUGAAUCUGAUUACAGGAAUGGUGGAAUUAAUUUAUCUGGUUAUAAAGAACAUGGCAUUUUCUAAAAUGCACAGGAUUAUUUUUGGUUUUGUUGAUUUUAGCUGAAACAUAGACGUUUUUCAGUGUAUAUUACAGCUGCAUAUUGCUUUCUGAGACAGAGUGAAUGCAGCACUAGAAAGCAAUUAUGGAACUAAUAUAUUUCCCUGAAAUGUACUUUGUGAUGCAGGAUUUUACUCAUGUUUCUAAAAAUUACUUAAACUUCAGCCUAAAUAAUCCUGGUAUCACAAAUAUGCCACUUACAUCAAUUUAUCCCAAAGAUACCAUCUUGGUAAGGAGAAGUAUUCCAUUACUGGCAAGAAUAACUUGCCUUCCGUAAUAACAGUUUUCCCCAGGUCCAAAAUGGUUUUUUUUCAGUGAGGAGUGUUAUUCCUGCCUAUUCUGUGCACUGGGACACCUGCACUGUGAGCCACAAAGAGCAGAAAGAACAUGAAUUUUGGCACUAAAACGCCCAAGCAACAAAGCAGACAGUCAUCAUACAAAAGUAACCUCUUCAAACAAACCCUCUGUCACCCAGCUUCCUGGUGAAUUUUGUGUAGGAAUAUAUUUUCCUUUUUCUCCUUGUACCACAUGUUGCCACAGUCUCAACUUCAAGGAUGAUCAGAGACCUGUAAAAUAUGAUCUAAGGGGAAAGAUUGAAAGAAUUGGGGUUGUUUAGUCUGAAGAAAAGGAAGAUGUUGGGAAAAAUGAUAAUGAUCUUUCAAAAUGUAAAAUGUGUCUCUGCAGAGAGAAGGAAUAAGUUUUUCUUUGUGUUCAGUGGGUCUAGGGCAAGAGGUGAUAGACUUGGAGAUUUAAAGUGGACCUUAGGAAAUUAUUCCAAACUGCAGAUGUAGUUUGGCGCUGAAAAUGAUUAUCUGGGAAUCUCAUUUGCUGAAGGCUUUGAAAGGCGGAUUAGGUCACAUGUCUCAGGAAUGGUUUUAGUUGCAGUAGAUUAUGUGGAGAUAACCCCAAAAGGUUCCUGGCUGGUUUAUGGUGUUUUGUUUCUCUCAGGUGAUUUACAGCAGAUGCUUUGCUAUUGUGUUAUUUUAUAUCCUCAGAAAAUGCCGGGAAGAAAAGCUAUCAGUAGGUGCAAAACGGGGUAAGUAGAAUGGGUGGGGACUUUCCCAAUAGCAGAAUACUAAGAAAUCACAGUUCCUGCAGGAAAGGUGGUGUGUAUGAGCAGAGUGUAACAUGCUCACAUGUCAUCCUGACAGGCUUUGGGACACAAGUAUUGGGCUGGCUUUCAGCAAGUGCUGGUUAAUCAAUACACAGAAAUCUCUGUUCUAAAUUUUAAUUUGAAGUUUUAAUUGAAGCUUCGCUUUUUGCUGUGUUCAAGUGUUUCCUGAAUUUUGCAAGGAGUGAACUCCAUCCACAUUUCACCAGUAGCCAGUUUGUUAGAUUUUUUGUUCUUCCAGUUCUCUGCAACAGUAAAGUAGUAUCCAAAAUGCUUGUAAUUCUUUGAAACAGAGUUGAGGAAUUGUUUGUUCUACUUAAAUAUGCAUUCUGCUGCAAAAUUUAAAGCACCUUUUGUUCACCUUCUCUAUAGUCUUCCUGUUUUUCUGAAUUUCACUAUUCUUCCUGUAGCCUAAAAUCUCUGUUCUCUUCCUGUAGGUAACUGUAGGUGUUCUGCAAUAACAGAGUGAUAAAUUGACACUUGAAUAGAUUCAUGAGAACCUAGGGAGUGUGACCUGUCAGACAGCUCUGCCCAAGUCCAAGAUCACCUCUGUCUUUGUCAUUCCUUGACAGAAAACUGAUUAAACUCUUUCUGGAUACUGAAUGAUGGCUGCAGCCCAGUCCCUUUGUCCAGAGCUGUGCCACAUUGCUGUAACCCCAUUGCAGCAGUCACCACCACAGCAUCCACUUCCCCAGGGAUGGAUCCUGGUCCCUGUGCCAUAUCAGCCAGGUGAGGAGAAGGACAGGCCCCUGCCAUCACCAAGGACAGCCCAAAUCUCUCCUGAGCCUGGUCCAAAAAGGUUCAGUGAUUUACAGUUCGUUAUGGCAAGACACUUCUUCUAUUGUCGUGAACAUUUUAAAAUGUUAUCACACAAUAAUUGCUAUCACAACUUUGAAUUCUGUGUUUCUGUUUCAAAUUUUCCUCAGUUCAAUCAGAACCAAAAGUUAAUGCCCGUUGGCUAAUUUCCAGUGCAUGCCUCCACAGAACAACUGCUGCCUUUAACUGGUGGAGAGAUCAAGGCUUGAACUGACAAAAGACAUCUGUAUUUUGGAAAACAAAUUAAUGUUUAUGUUUUAAUUUAUAAGUUCCUGGCUCUUUUAUGGUUCCUGUUUUUCAAGUAAUGUCUCUUUGGAUCUCCAGCUGAUGGAGAGUCAAAAUGGAAAAGACCCGUGAGAGAAUUAUCACAAUAGAACAUCUGGUCUGCAUUGGAAAAAGCUGAGAAAGAUAUUCAACAUCUCUGAGGCUGAGGAAGCCAUGAGGCACUUUGAAAGUCAGUCCAUGAAAAAUUGUGCAGGUUGUGACCACCUGGGCCAAUCUAGUGUUGUUUUGGGAAGAGCUACUCUGCUCAUGAGCAUCUGAAUUUUAAUCUCCCUUAAGGAUGGAUAUGUGAGAGCUGGGAGCAGUAUGAAAGGUGUUUACUUUCCAUAAUGUUAAUCUGAGUCCCAGCAUUGUCCUAAUUAUAUUGUGGGUUUUUGCCAGUCUCACAGAUUUCUUUUGAGCAUGUAUGCUGGAGUGAAAGGGCUUUCCCAAGGCUUUUGGCAUAGCUUUACAGGAAAGUGGAUGGAAAGGACUUAGUGUAUUUUUGGAAGAAUGUUUUGCAUCCUGCUUUAAACUAUUCCAGAAGGUAAAAGGACAUUAGCUAGACUGUGUGUUGGCUCAUGUAUUGCUAUGUCACUGAUGGCAAGGAGUUUUAGUCCUGUUUUCUGCAGUCACAGACUGUAAGAAAUGCAAAGAAUUCAUGGAGCAACCAGGGCAGUGAAGGUACCCCUGGAUUCAGAGGGAACAAACUCCAAUCACCACGUGGAACUUUGGUCCUUUAAGUCUUUAUAGCUCAUGCAGAGCAGAAACAAUUUGACAUGUAUAACAAGAAACAUUGCAAAUUGUUUGCCAAACAAAGACUUAUACUGCAGAUGGAAGAACUGAUGAAAAUUGUUUAUAGAUGGGGAACUAAAUGUAGAUUUUUCAAGAACAAGGUUGUUGUCUUCCUUGCCAAGACAAACAAAUCUGAUAGACCGUCUCAUUGCUUCAGGCUGCCUGAGGACCCACUGCAAAGCCUAUGUACCUUUUUCCACAAAAAAUUUGUGUGUUGUCAAUACAUAAGUGUAUUGUCCACAGUUACUCUGUGGCAGCUGCAGAGGAAGUGGAAGGUUCUCAGAAAUACAUUAGGGAGAACUGGAUUUUUGGCUUCUGAAACAGUGUGGAGUGCUUUUGGAAACUGUGGAAGUUUGUAAGCUGGAUGUUACUGCUACAAAAGGUUAUCUGUGUGUUAAACGUAAUAGUAAUUAAUCUACUAUCUUCAGAUCUUAACACUAACAACACAAUGAAAUUGAGAAUUCCUAUAUUCUAGAAUUGCACUUUCCAAGAUGCCUUCAUUCCCAUGAACAUACCCUGGUCUGCACUUAGAGAUUUGCAGUGUUACCUUUAGAAAUCUGUGCACAGAUGUUUCUACAAAGCACUGUGUAAUCAUCCCGAACAACUGGUUUCAAUGGGCCACUUAUUUAGGAAAUCAUGUAAUGAGAACAUAAAUACAAUCCCUGAUACUGACAUAAAACAUGUAUUAGCAAAAUAAUAUCGUUUGUAUUUCCCUGAUACAGAGCAGACCCUGGAAAUACAUAACUCAUAAUGUCCUUAAAAUUCUGUUAAACCUGUAAACAUCUGUAUUGGCAGAGAGGCCCAGCAGCAUGCUGGCUGCAUUAGGAGGAGCAUUGCUAGGAAGUCAAAGGUGAUCAUUCCCCUUUGCCCAGCACUGGUGAGACUUCAGUGGGAGUGCUGUGCCCAGUUCUGAGCUCCCCACAGCAGCAGGACAUGGACAUGCUGGAGGGAGGGCAGGAAAGGGCAGUGAGGAUGGGUAAGAGGAGCAUCUGUCCUGUGGCUGCCCAGGGAGGUGUUGAUGUCAUUGAAGAAACUCCAAACUCAGCUAAGCAAGGUCCUGAGCACCCUGCCCUGGGUGAUCCAGCUUUGAGCUGGGCUUGGACUGAGUGAUCUCCAGAGAUGCUUCCAGACUGGGAAUAUUUGAGGCAGUUUGCUUGUGUCCUGUCAGCAUUUUAGCUGCAGCUCUACUGUGGAGGAAUCCUAAGGAGAGCAAAGGCUGUGACCCUAGAAAUUCAUCCAGAUGGCUGAGGCCCAGAAAAGGCAUAAUGGGAGCUGCUAAGUAUUCUGAAUGUCUCAUCAGAGUGAUAUUUCACUUGAAAAUACAAAAUAGAAAUUACUUGGGUCUUAAUGACACUGAAUACCCAUAAUGUUCUCUCACUUCAGCUGGACUGCAGAUGGUAACAACCUCUCUCUAUCAGAACACACUUAUUUUAGUUUAAUCUUGCUCUGUAAAAUCUUAACAUGUAUUUUACUCUAGAAGUUAACACUUGAUGCUUUAUGGUGCAGAAUUUGCUUGCUGAUUUGUUCCACACUUUCUUUCCUCACUAGUACUGAUAUUAAGAAAUUAAAAUCUAUUUUGACAUAUUACUUCAGUAAUAAGCCCAUACUAUGUCUCAAGGAGUUGAGAAUAUCAUAUUUUGAGCAAGGUGAAAUCAAAAUAUAUAAUAAAAUUGCAUAUUCUAUGGCACUUAGUUUGUAACUAUUCUUAUAGUACCUUCACAGUAAGAAGGAAGAUGAAAUUCAGAAAGGGUUUUCAUAGUUUUGAAAGGUUUAUGUUGAAACAAGGUUUAUGUUGAAAGGUAAAGAUAAUUUUUCUUUUUAAAUCAGCUGAAUAGUGGUUGGAAGAUUCACCUGUGGUUUUUCUUUAUGAAAAUGCCAAGGAGCUAACUUGCAGUGUUGAGAAUUCCCAUAUCUUACUUCUUUUGAAAAUUCUUUGGUUUUUAUAUUGCCUCUAAGGAAAAAGGAAAGCACACUGGAAAACAAGAAAUUGAGCAACAUUGCACAAGUAAUUAGGAAAUAAAUAAAGCAUUUUAUUAAAUUUGGGUUUGCAUUUCAGCAAGUGAAACAAUAAGUAAAUAACCUGUUUCUUUAUUAUCAAUGUAUGGAGUCACAUUGGGUCUGACAGACCAAGGCAUAAAUGUAUAAAUAACACCAGUGAUAAUUGUUAGAGGACAUCAAAUUUUUCUAGGGAUGAGCCCAAUUUGAAACCAGAAAAUUAAGACUUCAGACAAAAAUAAUGUAUGAAGGUGAAAUGUACUUAGUCAUUGGUUGCUGUCCCUGCACCACUUUCCCCUGACUUAAUGCUUUUACAUCUCUGAUUCAGUCUCCUCUCCUGUGUGGGAUGGGGUUUUUGGUGGGGAGAGUAUAACUUUGAAUUGACACCUCUAGCAGCAGCUCCUACUGUACUGAUUUCCUUUUAUAAAUGUGUAACCUAUUAUAUCUAUCCAAACCUGGCUGAGCUCCAAGUCACCCAUUUCUCAGUAAUACAGGAAAUUAAAUCUGAUGUCUAAUAAGCACAGAGGCUUAUGCAACCUUCAUUCCCUGUAAAAAGUAUUAAAUAA